AAGUCGUAACAAGGUUUCCGUAGGUGAACCUGCGGAAGGAUCAUUAACAAAUCAUUGUGCUGUUUGGCUGGUGUCAAAGCCAGUCAUCCUAGCAACAUUAACCCGAACCUGUGCAGCAAUGCCAGGCUAGGUGUGGGACAAGGUGGAGGCAACUCUACGGCGUCCCGCGGUGACGGAUGAAGCCUCGGCUUAGUCUCGAUCCACAUAUACGCUUUUUUUGUUUGACAGUUUUAGUGACACAUUUUAAAAUGACAACUUUUAACAAUGGAUCUCUUGGCUCUU
rnacentral:misc_RNA from 1 species